rnacentral:rRNA from 1 species
GAUGAACGCUGGCGGCGUGCCUAAUACAUGCAAGUCGAACGGGGAGUAGCAAUACUCUUAGUGGCGAACGGGUGAGUAACGCGUUGGUACCUGCCCCGAAGCGGGGGAUAACGGACCGAAAGGUCCGCUAAUACCCCAUGUGCUCGGUAACGAGUAAAGGUGAAAACCACUUUGGGAGGGGCCUGCGUCCCAUCAGCUAGUUGGUAAGGUAACGGCUUACCAAGGCGAUGACGGGUAGGGGACCUGAGAGGGUGGCCCCCCACAAUGGAACUGAAACACGGUCCAUACACCUACGGGUGGCAGCAGUAGGGAAUAUUGGUAAUGGGCGCAAGCCUGAACCAGCAACGCCGCGUGGGCGAUGACGGCCUUCGGGUUGUAAAGCACUUUUGACUGGGACGAGGAAGGACGGUACCGGUCGAAUCAGCCUCGGCUAACUACGUG